rnacentral:pre_miRNA from 1 species
GUCGUACUCCCUCCGUUCCGAAUUACUUGUCGCACGUAUGGAUGUAUCUAGAUGUAUUUUAGUUCUAGAUACAUCCAUUUCAGCGACGAGUAAUUUGGAACGGAGGGAGUAUGUA